UACGGGGGGGGCAAGCGUUGUUCGGAAUUACUGGGCGUAAAGGGCUCGUAGGCGGCCAACUAAGUCAGACGUGAAAUCCCUCGGCUUAACCGGGGAACUGCAUCUGAUACUGGAUGGCUUGAGUUCGGGAGAGGGAUGUGGAAUUCCAGGUGUAGCGGUGAAAUGCGUAGAUAUCUGGAGGAACACCGGUGGCGAAGGCGGCAUCCUGGACCGACACUGACGCUGAGGAGCGAAAGCCAGGGGAGCCAAA
rnacentral:rRNA from 1 species